UGGGGAAUAUUGCACAAUGGAGGGAACUCUGAUGCAGCGACGCCGCGUGAACGAAGAAGGCUUUCGAGUCGUAAAGUUCUUUUAUAUGGGAAGAUAAUGACGGUACCAUAAGAAGAAGCCCCGGCUAACUACGUGCCAGCUGCCGCGGUAAUACGUAGGGGGCUAGCGUUGUCCGGAAUCACUGGGCGUAAAUGGUUCGCAGGCGGAAAUGCAAGUCAGGUGUAAAAGGCAGUAGCUUAACUACUGUAAGCAUUUGAAACUGCAUAUCUUGAGAAGAGUAGAGGUAAGUGGAAUUUUUAGUGUAGCGGUGAAAUGCGUAGAUAUUAAAAAGAAUACCGGUGGCGAAGGCGACUUACUGGGCUCAUUCUGACGCUGAGGAACGAAAGCGUGGGUAGCAAACAGG
rnacentral:rRNA from 1 species